rnacentral:rRNA from 1 species
GAUGAACGCUGGCGGCGUGCCUAAUACAUGCAAGUCGAGCGAACAGACGAGGAGCUUGCUCCUCUGACGUUAGCGGCGGACGGGUGAGUAACACGUGGAUAACCUACCUAUCAGACUGGGAUAACUUCGGGAAACCGGAGCUAAUACCGGAUAAUAUAUUGAACCGCAUGGUUCAAUAGUGAAAGACGGUUUUGCUGUCACUUAUAGAUGGUUCCGCGCCGCAUUAGCUAGUUGGUAAGGUAACGGCUUACCACGGCGACGAUGCGUAGCCGACCUGAGAGGGUGAUCGGCCACACGGGAACUGAGACACGGUCCAGACGCCUACGGGAGGCAGCAGUAGGGAAUCUUCCGCAAUGGGCGAAAGCCUGACGGAGCAACGCCGCGUGAGUGAUGAAGGUCUUCGGAUCGUAAAACUCUGUUAUUAGGGAAGAACAAAUGUGUAAGUAACUAUGCACGUCUUGACGGUACCUAAUCAGAAAGCCACGGCUAACUACGUG